AGGUUAAUGAGGCGAACCGGGGGAACUGAAACAUCUAAGUACCCCGAGGAAAAGAAAUCAACCGAGAUUCCCCCAGUAGCGGCGAGCGAACGGGGAGCAGCCCAGAGCCUGAAUCAGUGUGUGUGUUAGUGGAAGCGUCUGGAAAGGCGUGCGAUACAGGGUGACAGCCCCGUACACAAAAAUGCACAUACUGUGAGCUCGAUGAGUAGGGCGGGACACGUGGUAUCCUGUCUGAAUAUGGGGGGACCAUCCUCCAAGGCUAAAUACUCCUGACUGACCGAUAGUGAACCAGUACCGUGAGGGAAAGGCGAAAAGAACCCCGGCGAGGGGAGUGAAAAAGAACCUGAAACCGUGUACGUACAAGCAGUGGGAGCACGCUUAGGCGUGUGACUGCGUACCUUUUGUAUAAUGGGUCAGCGACUUAUAUUCUGUAGCAAGGUUAACCGAAUAGGGGAGCCGAAGGGAAACCGAGUCUUAACUGGGCGUUAAGUUGCAGGGUAUAGACCCGAAACCCGGUGAUCUAGCCAUGGGCAGGUUGAAGGUUGGGUAACACUAACUGGAGGACCGAACCGACUAAUGUUGAAAAAUUAGCGGAUGACUUGUGGCUGGGGGUGAAAGGCCAAUCAAACCGGGAGAUAGCUGGUUCUCCCCGAAAGCUAUUUAGGUAGCGCCUCGUGAAUUCAUCUCCGGGGGUAGAGCACUGUUUCGGCAAGGGGGUCAUCCCGACUUACCAACCCGAUGCAAACUGCGAAUACCGGAGAAUGUUAUCACGGGAGACACACGGCGGGUGCUAACGUCCGUCGUGAAGAGGGAAACAACCCAGACCGCCAGCUAAGGUCCCAAAGUCAUGGUUAAGUGGGAAACGAUGUGGGAAGGCCCAGACAGCCAGGAUGUUGGCUUAGAAGCAGCCAUCAUUUAAAGAAAGCGUAAUAGCUCACUGGUCGAGUCGGCCUGCGCGGAAGAUGUAACGGGGCUAAACCAUGCACCGAAGCUGCGGCAGCGACGCUUAUGCGUUGUUGGGUAGGGGAGCGUUCUGUAAGCCUGUGAAGGUGUACUGUGAGGUAUGCUGGAGGUAUCAGAAGUGCGAAUGCUGACAUAAGUAACGAUAAAGCGGGUGAAAAGCCCGCUCGCCGGAAGACCAAGGGUUCCUGUCCAACGUUAAUCGGGGCAGGGUGAGUCGACCCCUAAGGCGAGGCCGAAAGGCGUAGUCGAUGGGAAACAGGUUAAUAUUCCUGUACUUGGUGUUACUGCGAAGGGGGGACGGAGAAGGCUAUGUUGGCCGGGCGACGGUUGUCCCGGUUUAAGCGUGUAGGCUGGUUUUCCAGGCAAAUCCGGAAAAUCAAGGCCGAGGCGUGAUGACGAGGCACUACGGUGCUGAAGCAACAAAUGCCCUGCUUCCAGGAAAAGCCUCUAAGCAUCAGGUAACAUCAAAUCGUACCCCAAACCGACACAGGUGGUCAGGUAGAGAAUACCAAGGCGCUUGAGAGAACUCGGGUGAAGGAACUAGGCAAAAUGGUGCCGUAACUUCGGGAGAAGGCACGCUGAUACGUAGGUGAAGCGACUUGCUCGUGGAGCUGAAAUCAGUCGAAGAUACCAGCUGGCUGCAACUGUUUAUUAAAAACACAGCACUGUGCAAACACGAAAGUGGACGUAUACGGUGUGACGCCUGCCCGGUGCCGGAAGGUUAAUUGAUGGGGUUAGCGCAAGCGAAGCUCUUGAUCGAAGCCCCGGUAAACGGCGGCCGUAACUAUAACGGUCCUAAGGUAGCGAAAUUCCUUGUCGGGUAAGUUCCGACCUGCACGAAUGGCGUAAUGAUGGCCAGGCUGUCUCCACCCGAGACUCAGUGAAAUUGAACUCGCUGUGAAGAUGCAGUGUACCCGCGGCAAGACGGAAAGACCCCGUGAACCUUUACUAUAGCUUGACACUGAACAUUGAGCCUUGAUGUGUAGGAUAGGUGGGAGGCUUUGAAGUGUGGACGCCAGUCUGCAUGGAGCCGACCUUGAAAUACCACCCUUUAAUGUUU
rnacentral:rRNA from 1 species